rnacentral:rRNA from 1 species
UAAACGACUCUCGGCAACGGAUAUCUCAGCUCACGCAUCGAUGAAGAACGUAGCAAAAUGCGAUACUUGGUGUGAAUUGCAGAAUCCCGUGAACCAUCGAGUUUUUGAACGCAAGUUGCGCCCGAAGCCUUUUGGUCGAGGGCACGUCUGCCUGGGCGUCACAC